rnacentral:rRNA from 1 species
GCAUAUCAAUAAGCGGAGGAAAAGAAACCAACAGGGAUUGCCUCAGUAACGGCGAAGUGAAGCGGCAACAGCUCAAAUUUGAAAUCUGGCGCCCCUGGGCGUCCGAAGUUGUAAUUUGCAGAGGAUGCUUCGGGAUCGGCGCUGCCCCAGGUUCUUUGGAACAGGACGCCAUAGAGGGUGAGAGCCCCGUCUCUGGGCGGCAGCCGAAACCGUGUGAAGCGCCUUCGACGAGUCGAGUUGUUUGGGAAUGCAGCUCAAAACGGGAGGUAAAUUUCUUCCAAGGCUAAAUACAGGCCGGAGACCGAUAGCGCACAAGUAGAGUGAUCGAAAGAUGAAAAGUACUUUGGAAAGAGAGUCAAACAGCGCGUGAAAUUGUUGAAAGGGAAGCGCUUGCAGUCAGACUUGGCCGCCCGGUUCGGCGGGGCCUCGCGCCCCGUCUCCGCCGUGGCGGUCAGGCCAGCAUUGGUUCGGGCGACCGGAGAAAGGCUGCGGGAAUGUGGCUCCUCUCGGGGAGUGUUAUAGCCCGCGGCAGAAUACGGCCAGCCCGGACCAAGGAACGCGCUUCGGCUCGGAUGCUGGCGUAAUGGCUGCAAGCGGCCCGUCUUGAAACACGGACCAAGGAGUCUAACAUCUGUGCGAGUGUUUGGGUGUCAAGCCCUUGCGCGCAAUGAAAGUGAACGGAGGUGGGAGCCCUCGGGCGCACCAUCGACCGAUCCUGAUGUCUUCGGAAGGAUUUGAGUAAGAGCACAGCUGUUGGGACCCGAAAGAUGGUGAACUAUGCCUAAGCAGGGUGAAGCCAGAGGAAACUCUGGUGGAGGCUCGCAGCGGUUCUGACGUGCAAAUCGAUCGUCAAAUUUGGGUAUAGGGGGCGAAAGACUAAUCGAACCAUCUAGUAGCUGGUUCUGC